rnacentral:sRNA from 1 species
CCUUGGCCCCUCUCACCCUGCCUGUCUCCUCUCAGUACUCCAAGCAGGUAGACGACCGAUUUGGUGCCUAUGUGGCGUGUGCCUCGCUCGUCUUCCUCUUCAUCUGCUUUGUCCAGAUCACCAUCGUGCCCCACUCCGUAUUCAUGCUCAGCUUCUACCUGACCUGUUCCCUGCUGCUGACCUUGGUGGUGUUUGUGUCUGUGAUCUACUCCUGCGUAAAGCUCUUCCCCUCCCCACUGCAGACCCUCUCCAGGAAGAUCGUGCGGUCCAAGAUGAACAGCACCCUGGUUGGGGUGUUCACCAUCACCCUGGUGUUCCUGGCGGCUUUUGUCAACAUGUUCACGUGCAACUCCAGGGACCUGCUGGGCUGCUUGGCACAGGAGCACAACAUCAGCACGAGCCAGGUCAACGCGUGUCACGUGGCGGAGUCGGCCGUCAACUACAGCCUGGGCGAUGAGCAGGGCUUCUGUGGCAGCCCCUGGCCCAACUGCAACUUCCCCGAGUACUUCACCUACAGCGUGCUGCUCAGCCUGCUGGCCUGCUCCGUG